rnacentral:rRNA from 1 species
AUACGUAGGGGGCGAGCGUUGUCCGGAAUGAUUGGGCGUAAAGGGCGCGUAGGCGGCCCGGUAAGUCUGGAGUGAAAGUCCUGUUUUUAAGAUGGGAAUUGCUUUGGAUACUGUCGGGCUUGAGUGCAGGAGAGGUAAGUGGAAUUCCCAGUGUAGCGGUGAAAUGCGUAGAGAUUGGGAGGAACACCAGUGGCGAAGGCGACUUACUGGACUGUAACUGACGCUGAGGCGCGAAAGUGUGGGGAGCAAACAGGAUUAGAUACCCUGGUAGUCCACACGGUAAACGAUGAAUGCUAGGUGUAGGGGGUAUCGACCCCUUCUGUGCCGCAGUCAACACAAUAAGCAUUCCGCCUGGGGAGUGCGGCCGCAAGGUUGAAACUCAAAGGAAUUGACGGGG